UACGGAAGGCAGCAGUGGGGAAUAUUGCACAAUGGGCGCAAGCCUGAUGCAGCCAUGCCGCGUGUAUGAAAAAGGCCUUCGGGUUGUAAAGUACUUUCAGUCGUGAGGAAGGUGUUAAGGUUAAUAACCUUAGCAAUUGACGUUAGCGACAGAAGAAGCACCGGCUAACUCCGUGCCAGCAGCCGCGGUAAUACGGAGGGUGCGAGCGUUAAUCGGAAUUACUGGGCGUAAAGGGCACGCAGGCGGUUAAUUAAGUUGGAUGUGAAAUCCCCGGGCUUAACCUGGAAUGGCAUUCAAGACUGGUUAGCUAGAGUCUUGUAGAGGGGGUAGAAUUCCAUGUGUAGCGGUGAAAUGCGUAGAGAUGUGGAGGAAUACCGGUGGCGAAGGCGGCCCCUGGACAAAGGACUGACGCUCAUGUGCGAAAGCGUGGGGAGCAAAC
rnacentral:rRNA from 1 species